rnacentral:rRNA from 1 species
CCUGGCGCCUUAGCGCGGUGGUCCCACCUGACCCCAUGCCGAACUCAGAAGUGAAACGCCGUAGCGCCGAUGGUAGUGUGGGGUCUCCCCAUGCGAGAGUAGGGAACUGCCAGGC